CAGAAAGGCGCGUCGCCAUCUCCUGGCCGGCACUAUUACUGCACGUCCAUUUUCUAGAAAAUUCCUGGCAUCUGGGUUCUAUGUAAACGUAAGAACUUUUCCUUUACUGUGAGUUAGCAAUCCGGAUGUGUUUUGUGGAAGAUUAUGCCCUAAGCCCUUAGAAGGGAGGACACUGAGUUUGGGAAAAGUCACUACCUCUGGGCUUCAUUUUUUGCCCUAAGGCAAUGAGGUUAUCCUGAUGCUGAGGAAUCUAUGGCAAAUUUUCCUUUCUCCCUCAAACUAUCCUGUCAACCUUUUCAUAUUAGAAGGCAGAGAAUGGAAAAUACACAUACACAUUCUCCUUUAAAAAAAAAAAAUACAAGGAGCCUUGAGAAAUGGACAUGAUCCGUGUAUUUCUUGACCUCUGAGAUACCAUGGCUAAUCCCAACCAACCUGCAGAAAUACUGCUUCUGGAAGUUCCAUUUGCCUCCAUUCUGAGUGCUUAUUAACCCUGAAACUUUUGUCAGCUCAGGAAAAAGCAAAAGGUUCUAAACUAACUGGCUGCGCAGUGGAACACCCUUGUUCACCUCCUCACUGGGCUCCUGGGCCUCCAACUCCUGCCCUUCAGGUUCUAGCGUGAAGAUUAGUACAAGCCUAAUCUUUUCCGGUCAUGUGACAAGAACCCUAAGGAGAAAGUUCUACAACACUUCUUCACGUGGCGGCCGGAAGGAGAAGAAUGAGAGCCGAGUGAAGGGGGAAAGCCCCUUAUAAAACCAUCAGAUCUCAUGAGAACUCACUAUCAGGAGAACAGUAUGGAGGAAACUGCCCCCCAUGAUUCAAUUAUGUCCACCUGGC
rnacentral:lncRNA from 10 species